AUAGCAGUGAGAUUUGGAUAGAUAGGUCAUGGUUAGAAAAAGCAAUUGUUUUCUGGAGCCAUGAUCUUCCCUUUGUGACAGUACCUUUAGUGGUCAUGUGAAGUACUGCAGCCUAGAGCCCUGUGGCUGGACAGUUAACCCACAGGUCAACUGAUACUAACUAAGCAGGAGAGGGAGUCAGGCCAGAAGCAGAGAGCCAGCAGUGUGCUGGAGCUCAACCUGUCUGAGAGGGAGGAGACAGGAGCCCUGCAGGGCAGCUGUCCUGGCUGGAGCUGUUUCAUGACCGACACCUGCUACUUCAGUGCAGACAGAACUCCUACAGUUGGCAGCCCUCAGGUCUGCCAGUAGGAGUGUCUGAGCUCUGGAUCAGAAGGAGAGCAGAUCUGAGAGAGCUGUGGCCUCCAUCCCUCUGCCAGUGGGGAGAGAAGCCAGUCUUCCCUUCCCUCCAAACCUUAAUCUCCCAGUGAGCUGAACCUCCUUGACGAUAGGAGCAGCUCCUGAGCUCCCUGAGCCCCUGGGAGAGGAGCAAAAAAGCAGGGCCUGAUGUCUGCGACCAGGUCUCCCCUGGGGAGAGACUCUCCUGUAGCUUCCUGGUUGGAGGCUGGGGUCCCAGAUGCAAGAGCUGGCGUACUGGAGCUCCGUCUGCUGUCGCUGCCUGCAGGAUACACCCCAGCAGAGCAAUCACCCCUGCACCCCAACCAGGCUCUUCUCCACUUCCUGCAGAGCUGUGAUACACAGGAGAACUGAGUCUCUUCUCCUUCUUGGAACUUGAAAAUAGAAAACCAGUGUUCAGUUAAUAAAGAGCUAAAAAAUGAAACCCCAGUUCUCUUAUUCUCACACUUCUGGGCUCAUGUGUGACUUCAGCUGGUGCUCUGUUGGCACUGUGCCUCUUCCUUCACCCAGGUAACCCAAUAAACCUGCCACCACAGCUCACAGGAAUAGGGCAGCAGUUAAUCACGUACAUGGAGUCAUCAGCCCCUGUGGGAUGAGAGGGCAUCAAUCAG